UCAGCAAGCAUCUGUACUGCCUUUAUGAU
rnacentral:piRNA from 1 species